rnacentral:rRNA from 1 species
GUGUCAGCAGCCGCGGUAAUACGGGGGGAGCAAGCGUUGUUCGGAUUCAUUGGGCGUAAAGGGCGCGUAGGCGGCCUGGUAAGUCUGUCAUGAAAUGUACCGGUUCAACCGGGGCACUGUGUCGGAAACUGCCUGGCUUGAGGUCGAGGGAGGAGAGUGGAAUUCCUGGUGUAGCGGUGAAAUGCGUAGAUAUCAGGAGGAACACCCGUGGCGAAGGCGGCUCUCUAUCUCGAUUCUGACGCUGAGGCGCGAAAGCUAGGGGAGCAAACGGGAUUAGAUACCCCCGUAGUCC